rnacentral:rRNA from 1 species
UUCAGGAUAUGCCCAGGUGGGAUUAGCUAGUUGGUGAGGUAAUGGCUCACCAAGGCGACGAUCCCUAGCUGGUCUGAGAGGAUGAUCAGCCACACUGGAACUGAGACACGGUCCAGACUCCUACGGGAGGCAGCAGUGGGGAAUAUUGCACAAUGGGCGCAAGCCUGAUGCAGCCAUGCCGCGUGUAUGAAGAAGGCCUUCGGGUUGUAAAGUACUUUCAGCAGUGAGGAAGGUUCAUGCGUUAAUAGCGUAUGGAUUUGACGUUAGCUGCAGAAGAAGCACCGGCUAACUCCGUGCCAGCAGCCGCGGUAAUACGGAGGGUGCGAGCGUUAAUCGGAAUUACUGGGCGUAAAGCGCAUGCAGGUGGUUUGUUAAGUCAGAUGUGAAAGCCCGGGGCUCAACCUCGGAACCGCAUUUGAAACUGGCAGGCUAGAGUACUGUAGAGGGGGGUAGAAUUUCAGGUGUAGCGGUGAAAUGCGUAGAGAUCUGAAGGAAUACCAGUGGCGAAGGCGGCCCCCUGGACAGAUACUGAC